rnacentral:rRNA from 1 species
CCUACGGGGUGCUGCAGUGGGGAAUAUUGGACAAUGGGCGAAAGCCUGAUCCAGCCAUGCCGCGUGUGUGAAGAAGGCCUUCGGGUUGUAAAGCACUUUCAGUGGGGAAGAAAGCCUUGGGGCUAAUACCCUCGAGGAAGGACAUCACCCACAGAAGAAGCACCGGCUAACUCCGUGCCAGCAGCCGCGGUAAUACGGAGGGUGCGAGCGUUAAUCGGAAUUACUGGGCGUAAAGCGCGCGUAGGCGGUCUGAUAAGCCGGUUGUGAAAGCCCCGGGCUCAACCUGGGAACGGCAUCCGGAACGGUCAGGCUAGAGUGCAGGAGAGGAAGGUAGAAUUCCCGGUGUAGCGGUGAAAUGCGUAGAGAUCGGGAGGAAUACCAGUGGCGAAGGCGGCCUUCUGGACUGACACUGACGCUGAGGUGCGAAAGCGUGGGUAGCAAACAGGAUUAGAUACCCCAGUAGUC